rfam:Ovis aries breed Texel chromosome 13, whole genome shotgun sequence.
UUCCUGGUGGUCCAAUGGCUAAGACUCUGCACUCGCAAUGCAGGAGGCCCGGGUUUGAUCCCUGGUCAGGGAA